rnacentral:misc_RNA from 1 species
GGAAGGAUCAUUAACACGUAUCCACGUAUCCACCCCCCGAGAACUUGUUUUCCUCCCUUUGCGGCACACAUGAAUAGGCCAGUUAGAGCAUGCUUGUUAUAAUGAGUGGGACGUAUACGCCCUGGCAGCGUAAUGGUCAAUUUCAAGGUGUAACCUCGCGUUUCGACGAGUAACUAUUGCAGUGUGCGGAAGGUCAACCAUAUGUUCUUUUGAGCUACCUUUUUUAUCUCCACUCAAGAUGAAAAUACGUAGUAAAAUUGAGCAUUUAAUUUUCACCAGUUUAACCCCUUUUUUGCUAGUUGACUUUUUUAUGUUGAUUCGAAUGAAGAAAUUCAUUUGUUUGACACGUUACUUAAUUGAACGUAAAAAUACAACUCUUAGCAAUGGAUAUCUAGGUUCUCGCAACGAUGAAGAACGCAGCGAAAUGCGAUACGUAAUGCGAAUUGCAGAAUUCAGUGAAUCAUCAAAUCUUGAACGCAAAUUGCGCUCUUGGGUAGCCCUAGGAGCACGCCUCUCUCAGUAUCGGUUCAACCCUCACUCAGCAGCGUGUGUAUGAAUUUAUUUGUACAUUCGUGUUGGCUGGAGAAUGAGAGUCCGAGCGCCUCUGUGCCUUGGUCUCUUGAAAUAUAUGGAGUGAUCAUUAUGACAAACUAAGCCAUCGUUAGUGCUUGCAUUAACUAGUCAGUCUCGGACUGUUGCUUGGUGAGUGACGUGAAUAUUGACCUUUUGGUCUUCUUUUUACGUGUAACUUAUUAAGUAAUAAAUUAAGUCUAGGAUUGAUGAAGGUUUAAUGAGUGUAAAUGACAUGUCAACGUGGUGAGUGAAAUCACUACAAUCGAUUUCUUAGGAAAUCUGAAUUUUGAUCUGAGAUGAAGCGAGACAACCCCCUGAAUUUAAGCAUAUUAAUAAGGGGAGGAAAAGAAACUAACAAGGAUUCCCCCAGUAACGGCGAGUGAAGCGGGAAGAGCUCAAUUUGAAAAUCGAUUACCUCAACGGGUCAUCGAGUUGUAGCCUAGAGACGUACUAUCAGCUGAAACCUGGGUAUAAGUUCUUUGGAAUGAGGCAUCAUAGAGGGUGAGAAUCCCGUAUAUGACCCAAAGCUUUCAGCGUACGAUGUAUGUUCUUCGAGUCGAGUUGUUUGGGAUUGCAGCUCUAAAUGGGUGGUAAGUUUCAUCUAAAGCUAAAUAAUGGCGAGAGACCGAUAGCGAAACAAGUACCGUGAGGGAAAGAUGAAAAGAACUUUGAAAAGAGAGUUAAAAGUACUUGAAAUUGCUAAGAGGGAAGCGCUGACAACCAGUGAAUAUGUGUCGUUCAUCGCUAUCAGCCCCACUGGUUGGUGUGAGUCGUUGGAAACUCGACUUGGCGCCAACGAAAGGGUGGUUGGUGGUUUAGAACGAUGCGUGAGUCAAGAUCAAUUCGAUUGUGUGGAAGAAGGUAGGGGGACAGGUAGGAGACAUUCGUCUCUGUUAUAGUCCUCUUACUCUACCUCUUGCGUUGGAUGAGGAAGAAAUAGUGCGCUGCUUGCGGCUUAGUCCAUGGCAUCGACUGUAUCCACUGCUCUGAUCGCAAUGCUAUCUCUGUGGUAAAGUGCAGUCCUAUGUUGUGUCGACUCUCUGUGCUAUCACGAUCUUGUACGAAAUGGUUGUCAUCGACCCGUCUUGAAACACGGACCAAGGAGUCUAACAUCUAUGCGAGUAUUUGAGUGAAGAAAACUCUGAUGCGCAAUGAAAGUAAAGGUAGCCUUGUGCUGCUGAGGUAGGAAUCCGCUCACACGGAGGCACUAUCGACCGAUCAUCACUUGUGAAAGAUUUUGAGUAAGAGCAUAUCUGUUGGGACCCGAAAGAUGGUGAUCUAUGCCUGAACAGGGUGAAGCCAGGGGAAACUCUGGUGGAGGCUCGUAGCGAUACUGACGUGCAAAUCGUUCGUCUGAUUUGGGUAUAGGGGCGAAAGACUAAUCGAACCAUCUAGUAGCUGGUUCCCUC